rnacentral:lncRNA from 1 species
AGACCAUCUCCUUUGCCCCGCUCCUAGAUGUUCUUGCUUAUGUUUUUCUCCUAAAUCUCCACUUCAGCUCUAUACUGAUCCUUCUGACCUACAGACAUCAGCCUGUCCUUGCCCACCCCACGGCCCCACCGUGCUCCCACCGCAAACAUACCACACACCAAGUGGGCUUGUUCAUGUGUUUUAUUGUAAAAAAAUGUUAAAAUAAAUUACAUCUGCCUUCACCAUCGGCACAUGCACACAGCGUGGUUGGUGUGCCGCCAGGACAUUCAGCUGAGGUCCUCUCACAGGAGCCUGGCUCUUCCCCCCACCGAGGCUGCUGUGGCCUCUACAACCGCUUUGAUAAUGGUGGAGGUAUGGAUACACACCUCUCACUGUCCUAACGUGUGGGGGCUCUGGCCCUAUAUGCCCCUCCGCAAAUGCACACAGCAGGGGAAGGGGCUGAGGCAGGUUAUCAGCUGCCCCUCACCCGAGACCUGCGCCUGCCCCUCCGUAGCUAGACCUUGGCUUGACAAAGGACAAGCUGAGUUGGAAGGACAACAGAGUGCCUGACAGACCUCCAUUCUAAUGGCAGGGACCCUGUUCUUUACUGGCUCUGGGUAUAAAAAUAACAGUUCAUUAAAAAAUAUUAAUAACAAAAAGCAUUUAGGCCAGAGUGGGCUGAGCAUCAAGGACAUAUACAGCAGCUAGUUCCCAGACCUCGCUAGGAACUGGACCAGUAAGAUUCACAUUUUCUUUUCUCCCCAGCCCAAAUGUGCACACGCAUGCCCAUUGAUUGGCAGUUACACAUGCUAAUACCAUAUAGUGGCUGGAGGGGGGGGCUCAAUUCACAGUUCUAUGAGCCAAGAACAAUUUGGCCCCCACUAAGAGAGGAGGGAGAGGCAGUGAGAGAAUCUCUCUGAAAUGAGACGGUGGGCUGGGAGUAUGGGUGCCUAGGCUGGGGCUGAGGGGCCUGCACCUCAUCUCUGAGCUCCCUGACCACAUCCGGAGGCUCCAUCUUUCUUCUGCACUUUCGGGGCACAGGGACCCUUUGGCCUGCUGUUGUUGUUCAGAGGGAAUCUGAGGUGGGCAUGACUCCACACAGAGGACACACAUAGCUCUCCCCUACAUCCCCUGCCCUGAGGUUUGCAGUAAGGGGCUUGCUGGGCAGUGAUGCCUACUUGGGCAAGCAGGUCCUGCUACUGCUGGGGUACUGAGAGGCCCCAAACCCCAUCAUAUCUGUGCUUUCCCAGAACACCCGAGAACCACAUGCCAAACCUGGGUCUUAUGAGCUCCUCCUUCCAAAUGUCUAGCUUAGUGCAAGGCACAAGGGCGUUGCCCAUUAACACUGGUGAACUCAGCUGAAGCUCCUGGCCUCAGAGAACCGUACAACAGUCAACCGAGUGAUGGGGGAAGACACAAGCAGCAAACCCAGGACCUCCAGGGUGAGUGUUGCGGCCUACGUGCCUGAAUCAGCAAUACACCUGCCGGGCAGGCCCAGGACAGCAGCCUCCCUACUGGGCCACAGAACGGAGGCCUGUCCUGGGCCAACACCACAUCCCAUGGAAGCAACCAAGUGGAGAGGACAGAAGGAAAGGCAGGUCCCUGGCUCCCCAUCUCAUUUCCAGAGCCUUCUCCCUGGGGUCUGGCCAUCACAGGACAAUCCUCGUGAGAGGAAGCCACUGGAAAGCAAGUGGGGAGCCAGGCCCACCUCACGUGCCCCUGGGGUUAUCUGCCUUGUUGUAUUCGUUCAUCAGCUGCUCGUAAGGCACGGAGAGCUCUGACUCGGUGCUGGUGAAGGUGGACUCAUCGGAUGAAGGGAAUUCACCCGUGCUGCUCAAGGGUGCCUCAGCCAUGGGUCCCUGUUCAGGCUGCUCCUUUGAGGUCAGGUUGUCCUCCACAGAAGACUUAGAGGUCUCCUCGUCUGAGAGGCCGGUUUCUUCAUUUUCAAAGGUAAUGUUGGCAUUUUGGAAGAUGAGCGGGUGGUAGUCCAGGGCUUCCCACGGCUCUCCCUCCUCACUGAUACGGUCCAGUUGGUUAAUAAACACUUCAGAGGUUUGGUAACUAUCCUUGGGGGCCUGUGCCCCAGCCUCCUCACCAAGUGGCCUUGACACAUGUCCCUUGUUUUUUAGAGUCUGAGAUACCUCUUCCAAGCUGGGCACCCGAUUCUUGGAAUAGACCACCAAAGGAAGCUGAAGAUGUUGACGUCCUUGGAUGCUGUACUUCCAGCCAUCUGUAGGGCCUUCCGGGAGUGUGGAGAGCUCUCAAAGGAUUCCUUGCGCCGCCGCCGCCUCUUUUUAAUGGCUUUGUGUACUUCCACAAACAUGCUCACCUUCCAGUUGACAAAGAGGGACAGCCAAGCCAGCCCCAGGUAGAUCCAAAGCUCCACAAAGUAUCGGUAUAGGGCGUGGUAGUUGGCACUGGGGUUCACACCUGUAAAGACAGGAAGCCCAGAGGGUCAGCAAGGGCCAGAGCUGUGCUGGCUGAUAUAACACCAUGCAGACAGAGUCCAGUGUCCAAAAAAAGAGGGCCUGGGAGUCAGGCGUGAUGGUGGAUACCUUUAAUCCCAACAUUUGGGAGGCAGAGGCAGGUAGACAGCUGUGAGUUUUGAGACCAGCCUAGUCUACAAAGUGAGUCUAGGACAGUCAGGGUUGUUACACAAAAUUCACAUGAGGGUUGCUGUUGUCUUAACGGUUAAGAGCACUAUGGUUAAGAGCACUGAUUGUUCUCUCAGAUGGACCCAGGUUCGAUUCCCAGUGCCAACACGGCUACUUAGAACCAUCUGUAACUCUAGUAACUCCAAGAGUCUGAUACCCUCUUUCUGUCACUAGGCACACAUGUGGCACACAGAUAUACAUCCAGG